rnacentral:rRNA from 1 species
UGGGGAAUUUUGGACAAUGGGCGCAAGCCUGAUCCAGCAAUGCCGCGUGCAGGAUGAAGGCCUUCGGGUUGUAAACUGCUUUUGUACGGAACGAAAAAGCUCUCUCUAAUACAGGGGGUGAAUGACGGUACCGUAAGAAUAAGCACCGGCUAACUACGUGCCAGCAGCCGCGGUAAUACGUAGGGUGCAAGCGUUAAUCGGAAUUACUGGGCGUAAAGCGUGCGCAGGCGGUUUUGUAAGACAGAGGUGAAAUCCCCGGGCUCAACCUGGGAACGGCAUUUGCGACGGCAAAGCUGGAGUGCGGCAGAGGGGGAUGGAAUUCCGCGUGUAGCAGUGAAAUGCGUAGAAAUGCGGAGGAACACCGAUGGCGAAGGCAAUCCCCUGGGCCUGAACUGACACUCAUGCACGAAAGCGUGGGGAGCAAACA